AGCAGCCGCGGUAAUUCCAGCUCCAAUAGCGUAUAUUAAAGUUGUUGCAGUUAAAAAGCUCGUAGUUGAAUUUCGGGGUUAGUAGGUUGGUCAUGCCUCUGGUAUGUACUGGUCUCACUGAUUCCUCCUUCCUGAUGAACCUUAAUGCCAUUAAUUUGGUGUUUUGGGGAAUUUGGACUGUUACUUUGAAAAAAUUAGAGUGUUUAAAGCAAGCUAACGCUUGAAUACAUUAGCAUGGAAUAAUGAAAUAGGACGUUCGAUCCUAUUUUGUUGGUUUCUAGGAUUGACGUAAUGAUUAAUAGGGAUAGUUGGGGGCAUUAGUAUUCAAUUGUCAGAGGUGAAAUUCUUGGAUUUAUUGAAGACUAACUACUGCGAAAGCAUUUGCCAAGGAUGUUUUCAUUAAUCAAGAACGAAAGUUAGGGGAUCGAAGACGAUCAGAUACCGUCGUAGUCUUAACCAUAAACUAUGCCGACUAG
rnacentral:rRNA from 1 species